ACACGUAGGGGGCAAGCGUUGUCCGGAAUUACUGGGCGUAAAGGGUGCGUAGGCGGCCAAAUAAGUCAGAUGUGAAAGUCCAGGGCUUAACCGUGGAAUCGCAUUUGAAACUGUAUGGCUUGAGUGCAGGAGAGGAGAGCGGAAUUCCUAGUGUAGUGGUGAAAUGCGUAGAUAUUAGGAAGAACACCAGCGGCAAAGGCGGCUCUCUGGACUGUAACUGACGCUGAGGCACGAAAGCGUGGGGAGCGAACAGGAUUAGAUACCCUGGUAGUCCACGCCGUAAACGAUGAGUGCUAGGUGUCGGGAGUCAAAUCUCGGUGCCGGCGCAAACGCAAUAGGCACUCCGCCUGGGGAGUACGGUCGCAAGACUUAA
rnacentral:rRNA from 1 species